GUCAUGCAUUCUUGCCAAGCUGCCUACAGUGAACUGACUGCUGGAUACUCCCUCAGAAUCUGUCGUCCAGCCUUUGAGAAAAUCUCGUGGUCACGAAUUUGACCACCAAGCCAAAGCAAAGGAUGCAGCCCCUCGGAGCCCAGGCAGCUGUGUCCAGUGAGAGGUGCCUUUUCCAGGAUGCCAGGGAGCAGCUCCACUCCUCUACUCAUGGCUGUGCCAAGCUCAGUGGCAAUCACUUCGUCACAUCCAUUUGUGUCUUCACUUUGUGGUGUCAUUCCUUGGAAGGCUUGGCCUGUACGAGAGGAAUAUUUGACAACUGAGUUUUGACUCACUACUGCAAAAGGAUAAAUGCUCGAAAAUUGAUUUCCUGGGGAAAGAAACAUGACUAAGAGGAAACCUGAAAGUUUACGAACAAUAGCACCUUAACGGGAAAUGAGGCAUUUGGGGAAGCUGGCAUGAACCAAGAGUUAGGAUGAACCAUUGAGUUGGACCAGUUGAGGGAAAAGUAGUUUUUCCUUGAGCUAAAACUAGUAUUUUCCAACCUUAAAA
rnacentral:lncRNA from 1 species